CUCUGACUUCUGAGGCAGCAAAGAGAAUGUGGACAAUUUGGUGCGUGGUCUUGUACUUCUUUGGAGCAAGAGCUGAGAUUAACCAACCCUCAAUUCUGGUGCUGAAAGAAGAUGAGAACGCUACCCUGAGUUGCAGUCAAAAUGAUAAUCACGAUUAUAUGUCCUGGUAUCUGCAGCAGCCUGGGAAGGGUCUGCAAUUAAUCUAUUCUUCAUAUGGAGUAAAACAGGAAAAUAAGGGCGAUAUUCACACCGGAUACGAGGCUAAGCGGUCAAGCCAAGAAGUCUUUCAUUUAGAUAUCAUAUCUGCCAAGAAGAACCAUUCGGCUAUCUAUUUCUGUGCCAGCAGUUUGGACACAACACUUCAAAGUCACUUGCUUUCUGUACAUAAACUCCUCUCCCGUACGUUCUCUCAGAAGGGGGUAGCUCUCAGCACAGGAAAACAGUAUGUAGGCCAAUUGGCUAUUCACAAGGCAUAGGUUGCUGAGGAGCUGGACCAAGAGAGGUCAU